CGCUUCUUCUACUCCUGUUAAUGACUCAUCUACUCUUACUACUGAGAAGGUUCAGCAGAUGAUUCUUUCAGCUUUUUCAGCCUUAGGGCUGCAAGGAUCAGGUGUCGGGCAAGAUACUCGCGAGGGGGCCUAAAGUUGGACGUUUAUUUCCUUUACAUUUUUCCAUUCCUGAUGUCAUUUCAUUUGCUUGUAACACUGUGAACAAUAAGUGUGAAGUGUGGCACAAACGGUUAGGUCAUCCUAAUUCUGUUAUUUUAUCUCAUGUCAUAAACUCUGGUUUGUUGGGCAAUAAAGAUCAAUUUUCUUCUCUCU